AUUGAACGCUGGCGGCAUGCUUUACACAUGCAAGUCGAACGGUAACAGGCCGCAAGGUGCUGACGAGUGGCGAACGGGUGAGUAAUGCAUCGGAACGUGCCCAGUCGUGGGGGAUAACGCAGCGAAAGCUGCGCUAAUACCGCAUACGAUCUAUGGAUGAAAGCGGGGGACCGUAAGGCCUCGCGCGAUUGGAGCGGCCGAUGUCAGAUUAGGUAGUUGGUGGGGUAAAGGCUCACCAAGCCAACGAUCUGUAGCUGGUCUGAGAGGACGACCAGCCACACUGGGACUGAGACACGGCCCAGACUCCUACGGGAGGCAGCAGUGGGGAAUUUUGGACAAUGGGCGCAAGCCUGAUCCAGCAAUGCCGCGUGCAGGAAGAAGGCCUUCGGGUUGUAAACUGCUUUUGUACGGAACGAAAAGGCUCUGGUUAAUACCUGGGGCUCAUGACGGUACCGUAAGGAUAAGCACCGGCUAACUACGUGCCAGCCGCCGCCGUAA
rnacentral:rRNA from 1 species